UGUACUGUAGCUCAAUGGUAAAGUGCUUGCCUAGAACUCAUGAGGCCCUGGGUGUAAUCCCCAGCACUACAG
rnacentral:tRNA from 1 species